rnacentral:rRNA from 1 species
UCAAGAUAAGCCAUGCAUGUCUAAGUAUAAGCAAUUAUACCGUGAAACUGCGAAUGGCUCAUUAAAUCAGUUAUCGUUUAUUUGAUAGUACCUUACUACUUGGAUAACCGUGGUAAUUCUAGAGCUAAUACAUGCUUAAAACCUCGACUUCGGGAGGGGUGUAUUUAUUAGAUAAAAAACCAACGCCCUUCGGGGCUUCUUGGUGAUUCAUGAUAACUUUACGGAUCGCAUGGCCUUGCGCCGGCGACGGUUCAUUCAAAUUUCUGCCCUAUCAACUUUCGAUGGUAAGGUAUUGGCUUACCAUGGUUUCAACGGGUAACGGGGAAUUAGGGUUCGAUUCCGGAGAGGGAGCCUGAGAAACGGCUACCACAUCCAAGGAAGGCAGCAGGCGCGCAAAUUACCCAAUCCCGACACGGGGAGGUAGUGACAAUAAAUACUGAUACAGGGCUCUUUUGGGUCUUGUAAUUGGAAUGAGUACAAUUUAAACCUCUUAACGAGGAACAAUUGGAGGGCAAGUCUGGUGCCAGCAGCCGCGGUAAUUCCAGCUCCAAUAGCGUAUAUUAAAGUUGUUGCAGUUAAAAAGCUCGUAGUUGAAACUUGGGUCUGGCUGGCAGGUCCGCCUCACCGCGUGUACUUGUCCGGCCGGGCCUUCCUUCUGGAGAACCUCAUGCCCUUUACUGGGCGUGUUGGGGACCAGGACUUUUACUUUGAAAAAAUUAGAGUGUUCAAAGCAGGCCUUUGCUCGAAUACGUUAGCAUGGAAUAAUAGAAUAGGACGUGCGGUCCUAUUUUGUUGGUUUCUAGGACCGCCGUAAUGAUUAAUAGGGACAGUCGGGGGCAUCAGUAUUCAAUUGUCAGAGGUGAAAUUCUUGGAUUUAUUGAAGACUAACUACUGCGAAAGCAUUUGCCAAGGAUGUUUUCAUUAAUCAGUGAACGAAAGUUAGGGGAUCGAAGACGAUCAGAUACCGUCGUAGUCUUAACCGUAAACUAUGCCGACUAGGGAUCGGGCGAUGUUCUUUUUCUGACUCGCUCGGCACCUUACGAGAAAUCAAAGUUUUUGGGUUCUGGGGGGAGUAUGGUCGCAAGCUGAA